AUUUUAUUGGUUGAAGUAUGUUUGACAGAUAACAAAAAAAUGUUAAAUAGAAAAUAAAAAUAGAGUAAAUAUUACUAUUAGUUAGUCUUUCUGAACACGUCACAAUAAUUGAAUAGACUUGGUCAAUGAAUGGAAGAUUGUGCAUGAACACAAAAACACUUUGAGACGUCAAAGAAUCAAGAUUCGAAACGUCAAUGAAUCGAAUAUUUGACUUGUUAUUUAUUUCUCUUGGUCAAUUUAAAGAAAUGGCAAGUUGUAAAAAGAAAAGAAUCGUGGGUCCUCGUUUUCGAACAUUCCUCUGCAUAAUCUCAUGAGCGUGUUAGCUGACUGCCACGUCUUUUUUUCCUUUUGUAGUUCGGCCACGAAUGAUUACAUACGCGCCGUUAAAGGUCUAGCAUGUGAGAUAAUUGAUCUGACGGCGGAGAAUUUGUGGGGCCAGAGAUCUAGCGAGGUGAGCGAGCUUAUCAGAGACGUCCGUAGCGACUCAAUCCUGCGGCUGAAUCUAUAUCCACCUGCACCGUACGCGCUAAGAGGCGUUAGCCAAAUAGGUUUCGGCGAGCAUUCUGACCCUCAGAUCUUGACGGUGUUGAGAUCCAACGACGUAGAUGGACUUGAGAUUUGUUCACAAGACGGUUUGUGGGUACCAGUCCCAUCUGACCCUACAUGCUUCUACGUAUUGGUCGGUGACUGCCUUCAGGUAAAUCCAUUUAAUCAAAAAACUGUAAAAGAAUAUUUGAUAGUUGUUUUUGUUUUUUAUAAGAAAAUCCUAAACAAAAGAAAUUUAUAUCAUAUUUUUAAGUCCUAACCAAAAGAUAAUUGUAAAAAUUUAUUUGAUAAUAUUUUUAAGAGAGUAUUUGAUGAUGAACAUGAUAUUAAAAGUUCUUUAAUUAACAAAAAAUAUAAAAUUAGUAUUAAUACGAAUUUUAAAACUAUAUAUUAAUAACUAAAAAUAAUUACUUGAUAGCAAUUUUUUUUUUCUGAAAUUCUAAAGAGAAGUAAUCGUUAUAUAUGACAGUAAUUUUCCUUUUCUAAAAUCUUAAACAAAAUUGUAAAAAAGUAUUUAAUUUAUUUUUUAUUUUUUAUUGUAAAUAGAAAGAGAUUUAUAAAAUAAAAUGUUUUCCUUUUUUAAAAAAUCCUAGCAAAAUAAAACUCUAAAUACUUAUUUAAUAAAACAUUAAAUUAGUACAUAAAAAAUGUAUAAUGUUGUCAUUAACUCGAUUUGUGUAUUUGACUUUCAUUUCUUUUUACUUUUCAUUCAAUUUCUUAUUUCAGGUUGUGUUCAGUUUAAACGUUUAGGUAUAGUAUUUUCUCUAAUCCUAUGUACAAAGCUUAUAACAAUUCAUAUAUGCACCAUGAUUAUAAAAUACAAAUAUUAACUUGAACUUAUAUGUGAAAACGAGUUUUAAUUAUAAAAUAAAUCUCAAACAACAUAUGCAAAAAACAAUCAUAAAACUAUAAUAAAAUGAUUUAUUCUUUUAUGAUUUUUAUUAAAUUAAAACAUCAAACAAAACCCGUUGCAACGCAACAGGCUCAUAUCUUGUUUAUAUAAUAAAACAUAGGUAUAGUAGAUUGAAACAGUGGGAGCAAAAGCUGAGAAAAGUGAAACUGAAAAUAAAACUUUCUUUUUCACAUAUUAAUCUAUUUUUACUUUUCUUCAGCGUUAAUGGGCUGAAAACAUUUUCCUUUUGAUUAGAUAAAAAUUUAGAAUAAUUCAGUAGAAAACAAAUUUACUUCAGUAUAUUAUUGAUAGAAGUGCGAUCCAGACUUCCGGGUUAAGCCAUCACUUGAAGAAAUAAAAUUUGAUAUCACGAGGAACAUAUAUGCAUAGUUCAUUUUGUAUUUUUUUUUUUUUUUGGUAACUCUGGUAUCUGGGCAGCCACAUUCCCAAUUAUCCCCCCGUAGGGGUCCAGCGCCCUAACGGAAGGGAUGUUAAAUCCGCUGUGGCUAGGGCUCGAACUCGUGAUGGCGGGCACCUCAGCCGAGGUUCCUAUACCACCAGACCACGAGGCCCGGUUUGCCCUAAUCAUAUUAUCAUGUUACAAUAUUACAAAUCCAUUUAAUAAUAAAAUUUUAUUAAAAUACAAAACCUAAAUCAGGAUUUCUAAUCGAUUAUGGAUUCUAUCAUCGAACUAAUUUAUAUCUUAACCCACUAAGUUUCCUUUACACAGAUUUAACCGGUGUGAUCCAUUUAAUAGAUAAAGGUUGAUGCAAAACUGGUAUCGUUUUUAACGAGUGAAUGUCUAGCACGAGAAGAUAGAAUUAAUGUCGGAUAUCCACAUUGUUGGUAUUUUUUUUGUUGUAUCUUGUCUUAAAACUCUAUGCACCUGUAUGCCUUUUUUGUUUAGGAAUUUUAGUUUUUCUAGAUAAGUAUGUAUUCAUAUAGAGAAAAAAUCGGGUUUUGAAACUGAUAUAAAUACGGGUCUAAGGAUUUAUAAGAUGAUUUAUUCACAUAAUAAUAAAAAAUUCUAAACGGAAAUUUGCCUCAAUUCAUUUUUGAUUUUUUUUUUUGCUUUUUUCAAAGUUGAUUUGCGUUUGUUCUCAACAGGAGGCUAAGAAAUUAUACACAUCAUAUUAAUCGACCUCCCAUCUGAAGUAGUUGAAUGUGACUUCAAUGAACCCACAAUCUAUCCGAACAAUGAAGCUCACGAAAAGGGAUUAACGGAAAAGGUCCAAACAACCGUAAAUACUUAGGCUCGGGGAGUACCGACAAUGCUCAUAUCACACCAUCAAUGAUCGACACGACGUAAAAAAGCCAAUAAUCAUAUGGUAUUCACUUGAAAUUAAGGGAAUCUUGUAACUUUCAUUCUCGAUCCGAUUAAUUUAAUUUUUGAAGUGAACUAAUUACGUGAAUAGUAAAUACCAAGAAUUUUAUGAAUAUAUAAAGUGUGUUUUAUAAUAUAAUUGUAUAUAUGUGUCAAAUUCUUAUUGACAUUGGCGGUCAUAUCAUGUUCUUCUAUUACCCACAUUAAUUUCAUGACACUAUGUCGGACACAUACUGUUGACUAUAUAUGUCUUCUUGUCUCAAAGUAUUUUUAAUAGUAAUAGUAUAAAAUAAGAAUUUAUUCCAUCUUUAAGAAGAGAGAAAAUAGCGUUUCAACGACCAAAAAUAUUCCAACGGCCGUUUGCUCACCCCAUUCCCACGCAUGUGCCAUCCCAUUUGCCUUUUGUAGUUUAUGUCGUCUGUUGUUUUCCAUCUAUAUACAUGCCACAAUUCAAUUAAUUUAGUUACAGUCAUAAGACAACAUUUUCAACUGCAUUGUUCACACAAUCAUAGUUCAUCUUCCAACAUCUUACCCCAAAUUACGGUUUAAGAAACCCAUUUAAUUACUAUUAAUUUCUCAAUGCAUGCUGCAUGCUGCAUGAUGCAUGCAGGUUCUUCUUAGUAUGUAAUAUUAUAGUAUUACAAAGAUAAUCAUUUUAACUCUAAUAUGCUUUAUCACAUCGCAGUAGUCCGAUGGUUUUGUUAAUAGGAGUACUUCAUUACACAUAAUUUACCAAUCCUGAUAUUUAAAAUUUUAUUUCAUAAUUAGAAAACAUUCAAAUUUAAAAGUAGAAAUAUAUUAAUUGGUUGUCUAGGAGAUGGGUGACCAACUGCCCACUUUAAGCUCAGAAUUAAUUUAAGAUAUGCGUAUUUAUACGUUAAACAAAUGUGCAUAAUACUGUUCUAAAAAAUGGUUAGGUUUGAUAACCGAUAUGUAUGUUUCAUUCAUGGGAUAAUGUCGGCUAAUAUGUCAGAUGCCAUGUUCCAUUGAUCCAGCCUGCCUCUGGUCAACUUUUCUACGGCCCAUCCUUCCUUUAUAUUAUUAGUAUAUACAGUAUAAUUUCUUUAAAUUAAUACUUUAUAAAUUAAUAUACAUUAAAAAUCUCUAUAAAAUAAUAUAAUUUUAUAGUCUCAAAUCGAAUUUUUGGUUCGAUUAGUAUAUCGAUAAAUUAAUAUCUUUAUAAAUUAAUAAAAAAAUUAUUGUUUUGUUGUAGUCUCAACAUUAUUAAUUUAUAGAGGUUUCACUGUAUUUAAAUAGUUAAAUGAAAUGAAAUGAUUCGAAAUUAUUCAUUAACGUUUUACCGUGAACCUAAUCAACUAGCAUCAAAAACAGCAUUUUGAAAACGUUGAUUUGUUUAAUAUGUGACAUAAUAGAUUUUUUUUUUGUCAUUGAAAAUUUGAAAUAAACUUCAAAGUUUCCGUUUUCACGGCAUAAGGGUACCAAAAUUUAUAAAGAAAACCACAAGUUGCAACCAAUAGGUGCUGAAAUAAGAAAAACAGAGCUUCUGUAAGCUGUUUCCGAAGAUGAGAACGGCUUAGUGACUGAGGACGCCUUGCUAGGCACACCAACAUGUAUUAGUGCAUUCUGAUCCUCUUUUUAAGCCAAGCAGGCUACGUCGAGUUGAAUGCGCAUAUUAGAUUAAACGACGAAAUUUUAACACAGAGAGUCGACUCUUUAUAAUGUCAUAUAUUUGAUGGAUUGUUUACAUUUUAUUUAUCUAUCGGCUAAAUAUGAUAAUUUUUUCGUUGCAUAUAAAUGAACCAACCAUUUUCUGAAAAAUAUAAAAAUAAUGAAGCAAAUAUCAAAACGUCUUUUAUUAGUAGAUGGUGUCACAAUAGAUAGUAAUAAAUAAUACAGUAAAUGGGUAGGUACAAGGUAUUGUGAUACAGAGUUGGAAUUUUUUUUCUGACAAAUAUGGGAAUGAAAACAGAUUCUUUAGUUAAUCGGACGGCUAAUAGGAGCCGUCAAGGUUGACCAUCUCCACUACGUGCCGACAUAUCGGCCUUACACAUGACCACCCAUUCUCACAGUUCCCACUUUCUUGUGACCCUUUUCCAAGGUCUUUCACCAGAGAAACUCUCCAUUUUGCAAAUUGUAAAAUAUACCAAUAUAUCUUUAUUUAAUACAUGAUUAACUAAAUGAAAAUGAUUUAGAUAAAAAUUAACUUCAUCCAAAAAAUAAAAAAUAAAUUUAAUAUAUAACAUUAAAUUUGAAAUAUAGAAUAAUACUUUUUGAAACAGAAUUUUUUUUUUAAAGGGAUACUCUUUAUGAAACAAAAGGAAUACUAUCAUUUUAAAAAGGUUUAUCUAUCGUGUCGAGUGAUAAAUUUUGAAUCUUAUACAUCAACCAUGACUGAAGGUCUUUUUUAAAACAAAUAUGAUCGAAGGUAUUUGCAAGAUACAUGUGAAUAAAACUAUUGAUUGUUACUAACUUCUGCCUAACUUAUUUACUUCUCGAUAUAAAACAUCUUUGAUCGAGCUACAAAUAUUUAUCGACAAUCUUAAUCACCAACUGCUAAUUUAUACUUUUUUUUGUAAAAUAAUUUAUGCUUUAUUCAUACAGAUAUUUUGUUAUGCAUUUAAUAAGAAAACACUAUUAAAUAUACGCGAGUCUUAUGACUAACAAAACACGUAAUUUUAGGCAAUAAGUGCUCAGUCUUUAGAUUAUUUUAAGAAGUAAACAUCGACAUCUACUAGUUUGCUUUCACCAAAUUCCAAUCUACCCGAAUUUAAUAAUAACAAGUUGUGAAACAAAUAAUACAAAUAAUAAAAAGAGAAAAAUAAUAUAUUUCAAGUUUACCUAACCCGGAAAAAAAAUUAAGCUGAUUAUAUGGUUAAUUUUAUAUAACACCUUCGUACAAAAAAUAAAUCAAUUUUGAGGGAGAUAAAUAAGAAUAAUCUCAUAAAUAGGCAAGCUUUAAUUAUCUUGGCAAUAAUUUGGUUUUUCAACUCGACCGUCCCCAUCGAUGGCAUGCCCACCUUACGCGAUAUGUUGAUGAGGCGAUUACUUUAAUUUCCCCCAGUUGUCAACCGUAUGGAAACAGUAGCAUUAAAAAUUAAAUCCGAAAAAGACUAAUAAAAUUACUUUUAUUAUAUCCAAACUCUACCUUUCAUCUUCCCAUAAAGGCAUACACUAUAUAUAAUACUGUCCUCCUCUCUUGUUCUUUCAUAAUCAAAAUCUCCUGAUCUCAUUCUGUACUAAUACAUUUUAUUUUAAAAGGUUUUCCGUUUGAAAAAUAAAAGAACAUGGUUUUACCUUCUUCAACACCGUUUCCACCCACUGGAAAGAAGGCAAAAGCCUCGCCGGAAUAUAACUUUCCGGUUAUUGAUUUCUCUACACAUGACCGGUCAAAACUAUCGGAGAAGAUUGUUAAAGCAUGCGAGGUUAAUGGAUUUUUUAAGGUGAUAAACCAUGGAGUUAGACCAGAGAUAAUCUCGAGAUUUGAGCAUGAAGGUGAAGAGUUCUUUAAUAAACCAGAAUCUGAGAAGCUACGAGCCGGUCCGGCGAGUCCAUUCGGUUACGGAUGCAAGAACAUCGGGUUCAAUGGAGAUUUGGGUGAGCUUGAGUAUCUUCUUCUCCACGCAAACUCGACGUCUGUCGCUGAUAAAUCUGAAACUAUCUCACAUGAUGAUCCCUUCAAGUUCAGGUGCGUAUUACAAAUCUUGUUUGUUCUUUGUAUUUAUUGGUUGAUUCUUCAAACUACAUUAAAUUAUAAAGCUACAAAGUUUUUUCUUUGAAUAUUUAUUGGUGACUGAACCUAUACCGUACGUAUUGAAAGAUUAGCAUAUAUGAAUUCAUGUGUAGUCGCAUAAAGAUGCCCGAGUAAACUAACAACUAUGAAGCUGCCAGUCUUCGUUGCGUCUACAAAAUUAUUUUUUUUGAUAUUCUAUCUGUUCCUAUUUGUGUGUAUCAAAGUUGACCGAACUGAAAAUUGAUACUAUGGAUUACGUGACAAUGUAACUAUUGACUUGUGAGCUACAUAAAAAGAGAGAGAAAGAGAUGCAAUGUCGGCUAUUGGAUAUAAUGACCAUAAGACACGGCUUUCAAUUAUUAUCAGUCUUUGCUCCUUUAUUGUCAUUAUAGUUGCCCAUAUUAUAUAGUUUAUAUUUAAAUUAAUACAAUUAAAUAGUCAUACCAACCCAAUGCCGGUUCACCUGAUAAUUUGUUGUAAUCAUUACUCUACAACAGUUGGAUUUAGUUCUCGGUUCAUAGUAUAUUGGUAUGUGAUUACAAUUAGGAUAACAGCCAUUUUUUUCAUAAAUCAAGCUAAUUAAAUUAUCAAAAAUGCGAAAGUGCUUUUGCAACCCUGACUGUGACAUGGUUGGUGAAUUAAAAUAUUUUUCUAAUUUUUUAUCUCUAAUUUGGUGGCAUUGUCCACCUUUUUAAUAUAUACUUAAUUCAAUUUUUUGGUUGGAGUCACUUUUAAAUAUCAUUCAUGGAUUUCUUGUUAGUACUCACGUUACAUUAUAUUAAAUAAUGUAUAAGAAUUUUUUUUUUGUCAAUUUUAAAAGAAAUAUAUUUUUAAUUAUAUAUAUUAAUAGAAUGCAUUUUAUUGGUUGAAGUAUGUUUGACAGAUAACAAAAAAAUGUUAAAUAGAAAAUAAAAAUAGAGUAAAUAUUACUAUUAGUUAGUCUUUCUGAACACGUCACAAUAAUUGAAUAGACUUGGUCAAUGAAUGGAAGAUUGUGCAUGAACACAAAAACACUUUGAGACGUCAAAGAAUCAAGAUUCGAAACGUCAAUGAAUCGAAUAUUUGACUUGUUAUUUAUUUCUCUUGGUCAAUUUAAAGAAAUGGCAAGUUGUAAAAAGAAAAGAAUCGUGGGUCCUCGUUUUCGAACAUUCCUCUGCAUAAUCUCAUGAGCGUGUUAGCUGACUGCCACGUCUUUUUUUCCUUUUGUAGUUCGGCCACGAAUGAUUACAUACGCGCCGUUAAAGGUCUAGCAUGUGAGAUAAUUGAUCUGACGGCGGAGAAUUUGUGGGGCCAGAGAUCUAGCGAGGUGAGCGAGCUUAUCAGAGACGUCCGUAGCGACUCAAUCCUGCGGCUGAAUCUAUAUCCACCUGCACCGUACGCGCUAAGAGGCGUUAGCCAAAUAGGUUUCGGCGAGCAUUCUGACCCUCAGAUCUUGACGGUGUUGAGAUCCAACGACGUAGAUGGACUUGAGAUUUGUUCACACGACGGUUUGUGGGUACCAGUCCCAUCUGACCC
rnacentral:lncRNA from 1 species